GACGAACCGAGCGAACGUUAUUCGGAAUCACUGGGCUUAAAGGGUGCGUAGGCGGGCACGCGAGUCAGGGGUGAAAUCCCACGGCCCAACCGUGGAAGUGCCUCUGAUACCGCGAGUCUCGAGGGGGAUAGGGGCGUGUGGAACUUCCGGUGGAGCGGUGAAAUGCGUAGAUAUCAAGUGGAACACCAGUGGCGAAGGCGAGUCUCUGGACAUUUCCUGACGCUGAGGCACGAAAGCCAGGGGAGCAAACGGG
rnacentral:rRNA from 1 species